rnacentral:rRNA from 1 species
AUUGUGUGAAUACAUAGCACAUUCGAGGUAGACGCAGAGAACUGAAACAUCUAAGUACCUGCAGGAAGAGAAAGAAAAUUCGAUUCCCUGAGUAGCGGCGAGCGAAACGGGAAAAGCCCAAACCAGCAAGCUUGCUUGUUGGGGUUGUAGGACUCCAAUAUGGUAGUUCUUUCAGAUAGUCGAAUGACUUGGAAAAGUCAGUCAAAGAGGGUAAAAACCCCGUAGACGAAAUGUGGAAGACACCUAGGAGGAUCCUGAGUACGGCGGAACACGAGAAAUUCCGUCGGAAUCCGGGAGGACCAUCUCCCAAGGCUAAAUACUCCCUAGUGACCGAUAGUGAACCAGUACCGUGAGGGAAAGGUGAAAAGCACCCCGGAAGGGGAGUGAAAUAGAACCUGAAACCGUGUGCC